AGCAGAGUGGCGCAGCGGAAGCGUGCUGAACCCAUAACCUAGAGGUCCGUAGAUCGAAAUUACGCUCUGCUA
rfam:Octopus bimaculoides Scaffold1958_contig_14, whole genome shotgun sequence.